rnacentral:rRNA from 1 species
AUUGAACGCUGGCGGCAGGCCUAACACAUGCAAGUCGAGCGGAGCGGCGGACGGGUGAGUAAUGCCUAGGAAUCUGCCUGGUAGUGGGGGAUAACGUCCGGAAACGGGCGCUAAUACAGCAACCUAUCGGAUGAGCCGAGGGUGGAUUAGCUAGUUGGUGGGGUAAAGGCCUACCAAGUCGACGAUCCGUAACUGGGCUGAGAGGAUGAUCAGUCACACUGGAACUGAGAACCGGUCCAGACUCCUACGGGAGGCAGCAGUGGGGAAUAUUGGACAAUGGGCGAAAGCCUUAUCCAGCCAUGCCGCGUGUGUGAAGAAGGUCUUCGGAUUGUAAAGCACUUUAAGUUGGGAGGCGUUACCAACAGAAUAAGCACCGGCUAACUUCGUGCCAGCAGCCGCGGUAAUUC